GAUUCUUUAAAACUUUUUCACUUAUUAAUAGAGAAUGAACUAUAUCAAAUUUGUUAAUUAAGAUAUCACAGUUCAAGUAUAGCAAGAUAUAAUAGAUAUAACAAUUAAUGGACAGUAAGUAAACGACAUAGGUGUUUUAAGUGGUUCAAAGUACUUAAGCCUCCUAAUCCAUUAUUCUACUCCUCGAGUAGGAAAUCUACUAAGGAUAUCGUUACAGUUUUGAAUCACUAAGAUUUCUUCAAGACCAGCAGCCUUGGAACUCCAGUACACUGAGUAUCCUUUAAGACCAACAGCCUUGGAACUCUAGUUCACUAAGAACACUUCAAACCCAGCAUACUUGGAACUCUUACGCUUUGUUUAGAAAGUGUAUUGUGUUACUAAGUUUCCUUAAACAUGAGUUAAUUUGAUGAACUUAGUAGCGAAGUAAAAUGUUUAUUUCAAAUCGUAGAGUGAGGCUUUGACAGAUCUUGAAUUGUUCGUUUGUACUUGCUUGAUUGUAAUCUUCAAUUUGUUUACCUUAUAUAGAUGCCUCUGAAAUCUUCCCGUUGAGACUUUCUCGUUGCAUCAAAUUCUUCCCGUUGAGACAUGUUGGUGCAUUGAUGAAUAGUUUAUUCCUUGGUGUGCACACUAGUGGGGUGUUGGACCAAGAUAGUGGCCGACAAGUAUGCUUUUUGUGCUGCCCUUCAUGGUUGUUUGAAUCCCACUGAGUUUGAUUCUCCAUUGAGAUCAAGUAAUCAGCAAUUUACUUGGGAAGGUCACUCUACAGCUUGGAUUUUGGCAAUCCAUCAUGGGCAACAUAGAAUAUUAAUUAUCGAUCUGGGUUGCACGCUUUUGAUGAAGAUCGUAGAUUAUCUUGCUAGUCGUAGAGUCUUAGUGACAUCGUAGAGUGACUUUCUGAACUUGCUAUACGAUCUCUAAUAAGACUUAAUUGAUGCUGUAGAUGAGCUCUAUGAUCUCCAUUUAGCUCUUUGGUCAUUCAGAGAUAACUUGCAUGAUUAGCCUGGUAAUCUUCUUGAAGAUUGUUGUCUUAAUCUUGAAUGCUCUUUCAGAGGUAGCUCUACGUUCUUCUCGGUCGUAGGGUAUCGUAAAGUGACUGACUGUAUUAGCUCUACGAUCCAGAGCGAGCUCUACAAUUCGGACUGAGCCUUUACUCUGUGAUUGCCUGGCAGACUCUACGAUAAUGCACUUAGCUCUGCGAUCCUUUACUUACUGCUCUACGAUCUUUCUCUGGUUGCUCUACGAUCAUACCAGAGUUGCUCUACGAUAGUUUGAGCAGUGCUCUACGAUCAGUCUGGCCUUAUCAUUUCUAUUCCAAUUCAGCUCAUAAUUGAUCAACCUAACAAGUUUGAUCAUUGUAUUCUAAGUUAUUGUACAUCAUAAUCUUUUGAAGGACUUUACAAUUCAACUACUUAGACACAUAUACAUUAAGAUCAUAACAUCAAAUUUUAAUCAUGUGAUUCCUAACAGACAUUGUUUACGCCUUUUUUGGACCCUUCAUGAACCUAGACAUUGUUUACGCCUUUAUUUCCUUUGGCUUAUAGCUGAGCUUUGAUUUGAUUUGGCAUGCUUAUUCACCUUUAUUAUAACCUCAUAUAUCAUACAAACUUACCCCAGCUCUUAAUUGUUUCUAGUAAUUGAUAUUUAAUCAAAACAGUCCACUUGGGACUUUUAUCGAACACUUGGUGUGGACAGUUUAAAACUACUUAUGUCAUAGCUAUUUGUUUGUAUUAAGCAUCCAUUUUAUCACCCUUAUUGCUCCUCAGUCCAACCUAUCUCCUUGUGCCUAAUUUCAAUUCAUAGCAAUACAACAAUAGCAUAGCAGUUACUAACUUCCUAUAGCAGUAACAUAGCAACUCAAACAUUUCAAUGCAGCAGUCCUUCUAUUGCCAGCCAUUCGGCAUUACAGUUCAAUGAAAAGGAAUGGAAAAGAUUCAAUUUAGUAUACCUUGUUGGGCUACUUGAUUAUAGACUUCAAGAUAAAGAGAUUGAUGGUUGCUUUGUUGUUUAAGCCUUCUCUUUUACCAGUCGGAUGCUUACACCUUCACCACAUAACUUCUACUGAUUUUUGCUCUUAGUAUAUUUGUACAGCUACUGAACUUGGGUGUAUGGUGUGGCCAUAUAUGGCUGAACUUUGGCUAGUCAUCAUGGCCCUAUUGCUUGCUUUCUUUAACCUAUACCUACUAUGUUAUGGACUCAUUCAGCCCCCUGACACAAAACUCAGUUGGCUCCUAAUUACCUUAUCUGAUAUGCCCUACUUGGCCCCUACAUUAGCUACCUUACUUGGUCUCAAAAACUUCUGUGCUGCAGUCUACUCCUAGCAGUUAAGUUGGCUUGUAGUGACCCCUACUGUUUUACUGUUGCAACUCUACUUGGCCUUUGCAGUGGGUUAAUCCUCUAGCAACCAACUGAAACAUCUAUAGUUACUAACUAACUACUAACUAAUUGACUAACCAAUGCAAUAAACACAGUUAACUCCCUGCCCUGCCUACUUAUUCCUAUUUGGGCAGAUCAGCCCCUUUAUUUUAUACUUCAAGUGGUCUGCCGGAUGGGCAAAGAC
rnacentral:lncRNA from 1 species